UUAAAGAACUAACAUUGUUGAUGAGUCUAAAUGACGAGUGGCAUCUAGUUAGAAAACUAUGACUGAGUGGCACAUGCUUGAUGUUUACUUGAGAUGAUCUUAUUAGUGUGGUUGAGACACUAUGAGAAUGGGUACAAGAACUUAUUGAUCCAUGCUAAUAUUACCCUCAAAGGGUUGUUGUUGCUAGUGAGUUGAUCAUGCUCACAUUGCCUGUCUGCGCUUGGUGGGGCCGCUCCCCUCAAGUUGUGCGCUCCGUAGUUGGUCACUAGAGAGGCAGCCUGCUUGCUGCUCGGAUAGCCGCUUGUUAUCCGCAGGCGUACUCGGGGAUAGUCCAGCUCGACAUCCCUAGGAGAUUGAUAUGUGAGCCUUGCUUGUGAACCUUGUGUUCACUUGGAGAUUGGGUUACCCAUUGAGUCUUACCCAUGAUUGAUGUUCAUAGUAGCUAUUCAUUGUUCAUAUCAGCUUACUUGCUUACCUAGUAGCAUGUUUUAUAGUUACUAUGAUAGCUGUUGUAGAUGUUGAUAGUUGCUUACUUACCCAGCUUUGUUUAUUGUUCAUGCAUUCAUGAUUCCAGAUUGAGGCAUAGCUUGAUAUAGUUGUUUACAUACCCGCUUUCCGUUCAGCUUAGUUUUAUAUAUAUAUUGCAUAUAUAUCUCUCUAUGCCUACUUGAGACCUAGUGGGUAGAUCGGCGGAGUCGGCGGCCGAACCCACUGGGAACUAUUCGUAGUUCUCACCCCCGUGUGGCUCUGGGGGUACAGGUAUACAGGACAGCGGGCCUUCGUCGAUGGAUCGCGGCAAGGGCAUAGCGCCCUAGCAGUUGGUUGAUAGCUUUACCUUCCCUACUUGCAUUAGCUCUACCCUGUACUUUUGGUUAUACAUUUUGAGAGUAGAUGUUGUAUAGGGUGAGGUUUUGGAGAGCUUAUGAUGUAUAUUCAUUUUGGAUAAAGAACGCAAGUUGUAUCAAAGUUUAAAGUUAAAUGAAAUCGAAAGAGGUUAAAUGUUUCAAUGAUGUCUCAAAUAGCUAAGUUGCUCUCUUUUGUAUACUUGUAUGGUUUUACUUGUAUCGCUUGCUCUAGUUGAUAGUAGCACUGUUUGUGCUCUCGUUUAUCGUUGUUUGAUUGUGUAUGUAUGCAAGUGGUUUUCCUGGGAACUUGUUGUACACAAUCUGUUGCUUAGCCUUGGGCGGACAGGGGAAACUCCGUCCGUUCGGCAUCACGCACGCCACCCUCGAAACGGACCAAAUUGGUACUGUCUUCGGGUAGUGCGGUCGGGGGCAUGACAGAAGUGGUAUCAGAGCGAGUUAAGAGCAAGCAAAAGAGAGAGUCUAGGAUGACCUAGGAGACUCUAGGUUGGUUAACCCUAAGGUUAUAGGUGCGUGAGUGCGACGUGAACCUAUGACGCGGCAGAAGCUAAUUGAUUGGGUUUGGAGUUGGAGUUGUUACUCUAGUUAUGACUAGAGAUGAUUCAAGUGGUAUUAAUUUUUGGCUUAAGGUGAUUGUGUUGGCGGCCGACAACACGAUGC
rnacentral:lncRNA from 1 species